UACGUAGGGUCCGAGCGUUGUCCGGAAUUAUUGGGCGUAAAGGGCUCGUAGGCGGUUCGUCACGUCGGGAGUGAAAACUCGGGGCUUAACCCCGAGCCUGCUUCCGAUACGGGCAGACUAGAGGUAGGCAGGGGAGAGCGGAACUCCUGGUGUAGCGGUGGAAUGCGCAGAUAUCGGGAGGAACACCGGUGGCGAAGGCGGUUCUCUGGGCCUUACCUGACACUGAGGAGCGAAAGCGUGGGGAGCGAACAGG
rnacentral:rRNA from 1 species